GAUGAACGCUGACAGAAUGCUUAACACAUGCAAGUCUAUGAGAAGAUCUACUUCGGUAGAAGGUUAUCAUGGCGGACGGGUGAGUAACGCGUAAAGAACUUGCCUCUUAGACUGGGAUAACAGAUGGAAACGUCUGAUAAGACUAGAUAUAAUAGCGACAUGGCAUCAUGUUGUUAUGAAAGGUAACACUAAGAGAGAGCUUUGCGUCCUAUUAGUUAGUUGGUGAGGUAAUGGCUCACCAAGACGAUGAUAGGUAGCCGGCCUGAGAGGGUGAACGGCCACAAGGGGACUGAGAUACGGCCCUUACUCUUACGGGAGGCAGCAGUGGGGAAUAUUGGACAAUGGAGGAAACUCUGAUCCAGCAAUUCUGUGUGCACGAUGAAGGUUUUCGGAUCGUAAAGUGCUUUCAGUAGGGAAGAAGAAAGUAGACGGUACCUACAGAAGAAGCGACGGCUAAAUACGUGCCAGCAGCCGCCGGUAAAGCUACGU
rnacentral:rRNA from 1 species